UACGGGGGGGGCAAGCGUUGUUCGGAAUUACUGGGCGUAAAGGGCUCGUAGGCGGCCAACUAAGUCAGACGUGAAAUCCCUCGGCUUAACCGGGGAACUGCGUCUGAUACUGGAUGGCUUGAGUUUGGGAGAGGGACGCGGAAUUCCAGGUGUAGCGGUGAAAUGCGUAGAUAUCUGGAGGAACACCGGUGGCGAAGGCGGCGUCCUGGACCAAUACUGACGCUGAUGAGCGAAAGCCAGGGGAGCAAACGGG
rnacentral:rRNA from 1 species